GACUCAGCGAUGGAGCAGCCGGCUGUUAACCGGCGGGUCGAAGGUUCGAAUCCGAUUAAUCG
rnacentral:tRNA from 1 species